rnacentral:lncRNA from 1 species
GUGGACUGCAAGGAAGUACUAGACAUCAUAUGUAAUCUGGAGUCUGAGGGUCAGGACAACACGGCGUUUGUUCUUUGCACGACUUACCUUACCCAGCAGCUGCAGACGGCCAGUGUGUAUUGUUCUUGGGAGCUGACUCUCUUUUGGAGUAAACUGCAAAGAAGAACCGACCCAUCUUUGGAGACAUUUUUGGAGCGCUGUCGGCAGUUUGGUGUCAUAGCUAAAACACAGCAGCAUCUAUUCUGCCUGAUUAGAGUCAUACAGACUGAAGCACAAGAUGCUGGCAUUGGGGUGUCAAUUUUAUUAUGUGUCAGAGCUCUUCAACUCAGAUCAAGUGAAGAUGAGGAAAUGAAAGCUUCAGUUUGUAAAACAAUUUCCUGUCUUUUACCAGAAGAUUUGGAAGUCAGACGAGCCUGUCAGCUUACAGAAUUCUUAAUUGAACCCAGUUUGGAUGGGUUCAAUAUGCUGGAAGAACUGUAUUUGCAGCCAGAUCAAAAAUUCGAUGAAGAAAAUGCACCAGUUCCAAAUUCCCUGCGAUGUGAGCUCUUACUGGCUUUAAAGGCCCACUGGCCAUUUGAUCCUGAAUUUUGGGACUGGAAAACUUUGAAGCGACACUGCCACCAACUACUGGGACAAGAAGCCUCAGAUUCUGAUGAUGACCUAAGUGGCUACGAAAUGUCUAUUAAUGAUACAGAUGUCUUAGAGUCAUUUCUCAGUGACUAUGACGAAGGUAAAGAAGAUAAACAAUAUAGAAGAAGUCUAGCAGAUCAGAAUAAGGAGAAAAGAGACAAAAAGCCCAUUGGUUCCUCUGAAAGAUACCAGAGGUGGCUUCAGUAUAAGUUUUUCUGUUUGCUGUGUAAGCGGGAAUGCAUAGAGGCCAGGAUUCUGCAUCAUUCCAAGAUGCACAUGGAAGAUGGAGUCUAUACCUGUCCAGUUUGUAUUAAAAAAUUCAAGAGAAAAGAGCUAUUUGUUCCUCACGUAAUGGAACAUGUUAAAAUGCCACCAAGCAG